AUUGAACGCUGGCGGCAUGCCUUACACAUGCAAGUCGAACGGUAACAGGUCUUCGGAUGCUGACGAGUGGCGAACGGGUGAGUAAUACAUCGAAACGUGCCUAGUAGUGGGGGAUAACUACUCGAAAGAGUGGCUAAUACCGCAUGAGAUCUACGGAUGAAAGCAGGGGAUCGCAAGACCUUGUGCUACUAGAGCGGCCGAUGGCAGAUUAGGUAGUUGGUGGGAUAAAAGCUUACCAAGACGAGGAUCUGUAGCUGGCCUGAGAGGACGAACAGACACACUGUGACUGAGACACGGCCCAGACUCCUACGGGAGGCAGCAGUGGGGAAUUUUGGACAAUGGGCGCAAGCCUGAUCCAGCAAUGCCGCGUGCAGGAUGAAGGCCUUCGGGUUGUAAACUGCUUUUGUACGGAACGAAAAGCCCCGGGUUAAUACCCUGGGGUCAUGACGGUACCGUAAGAAUAAGCACCGGCUAACUACGUGCCAGCCGCCGCGGUAA
rnacentral:rRNA from 1 species